CUUUGGGAUAACCCUCGGAAACGGGGGCUAAUACCGGAUAGGACUUCCUGCUGCAUGGUGGGGGGUGGAAAGAUUUUUCGGUCUGGGAUGGGCUCGCGGCCUAUCAGCUUGUUGGUGGGGUGAUGGCCUACCAAGGCGACGACGGGUAGCCGGCCUGAGAGGGCGACCGGCCACACUGGGACUGAGACACGGCCCGGACUCCUACGGGAGGCAGCAGUGGGGAAUAUUGCACAAUGGGCGGAAGCCUGAUGCAGCGACGCCGCGUGAGGGAUGACGGCCUUCGGGUUGUAAACCUCUUUCAGCUCCGACGAAGCGAGAGUGACGGUAGGAGCAGCAGAAGCGCCGGCCAACUACGUGCCAGCAGCCGCGGUAAGACGUAGGGCGCGAGCGUUGUCCGGAUUUAUUGGGCGUAAAGAGCUCGUAGGCGGCUUGUCGCGUCGACUGUGAAAACCCACAGCUCAACUGUGGGCUUGCAGUCGAUACGGGCAGGCUAGAGUUCGGUAGGGGAGACUGGAAUUCCUGGUGUAGCGGUGAAAUGCGCAGAUAUCAGGAGGAACACCGGUGGCGAAGGCGGGUCUCUGGGCCGAUACUGACGCUGAGGAGCGAAAGCGUGGGGAGCGAACAGGAUUAGAUACCCUGGUAGUCCACGCUGUAAACGUUGGGCGC
rnacentral:rRNA from 1 species